CGUAGGUGAACCUGCGGCGGGAUCAUUACUGAGUUUACGCUCUACAACCCUUUGUGAACAUACCUACAACUGUUGCUUCGGCGGGUAGGGUCUCCGCGACCCUCCCGGCCUCCCGCCUCCGGGCGGGUCGGCGCCCGCCGGAGGAUAACCAAACUCUGAUUUAACGACGUUUCUUCUGAGUGGUACAAGCAAAUAAUCAAAACUUUUAACAACGGAUCUCUUGGUUCUGGCAUCGAUGAAGAACGCAGCGAAAUGCGAUAAGUAAUGUGAAUUGCAGAAUUCAGUGAAUCAUCGAAUCUUUGAACGCACAUUGCGCCCGCCAGCAUUCUGGCGGGCAUGCCUGUUCGAGCGUCAUUUCAACCCUCAAGCUCAGCUUGGUGUUGGGGCCCUACAGCCGAUGUAGGCCCUCAAAGGUAGUGGCGGACCCUCCCGGAGCCUCCUUUGCGUAGUAACUUUACGUCUCGCACUGGGAUCCGGAGGGACUCUUGCCGUAAAACCCCCCAAUUUUCCAAAGGUUGACCUCGGAUCAGGUAGGAAUACCCGCUGAACUUAAGCAUAUCA
rnacentral:rRNA from 1 species